UACAGAGGUGGCAAGCGUUGUUCGGAAUUACUGGGCGUAAAGGGCGCGUAGGCGGCCUUCUAAGUCAGACGUGAAAUCCCCCGGCUUAACCUGGGAACUGCGUCUGAUACUGGAGGGCUUGAGUAUGGGAGAGGGAUGUAGAAUUCCAGGUGUAGCGGUGAAAUGCGUAGAUAUCAGGAGGAACACCGAUGGCGAAGGCAGAUCUCUGGGCCGUAACUGACGCUGAUGCACGAAAGCUAGGGGAGCAAACAGG
rnacentral:rRNA from 1 species